AGCGAACGCUGGCGGCAGGCCUAACACAUGCAAGUCGAACGAUCCUUCGGGAUAGUGGCGGACGGGUGAGUAACACGUGGGAACGUGCCCUUUGGUUCGGAACAACUCAGGGAAACUUGAGCUAAUACCGAAUGUGCCCUUCGGGGGAAAGAUUUAUCGCCAUUGGAGCGGCCCGCGUCUGAUUAGCUUGUUGGUGAGGUAACGGCUAACCAAGGCGACGAUCAGUAGCUGGUCUGAGAGGAUGAUCAGCCACACUGGGACUGAGACACGGCCCAGACUCCUACGGGAGGCAGCAGUGGGGAAUCUUGCGCAAUGGGCGAAAGCCUGACGCAGCCAUGCCGCGUGAAUGAUGAAGGUCUUAGGAUUGUAAAAUUCUUUCACCGGGGACGAUAAUGACGGUACCCGGAGAAGAAGCCCCGGCUAACUUCGUGCCAGCAGCCGCAGUAAAAC
rnacentral:rRNA from 1 species